rnacentral:rRNA from 1 species
UACAGAGGGUGCAAGCGUUGUUCGGAAUUAUUGGGCGUAAAGCGCGUGUAGGCGGCUUUGCAAGUCGGGUGUGAAACCCUCAGGCUCAACCUGGGGACGCCACCCGAUACUGCUGUGGCUAGAGUCCAGUAGGGGAGUGUGGAAUUCCCGGUGUAGCGGUGAAAUGCGCAGAUAUCAGGAGGAACACCAAUGGCGAAGGCAGCACUCUGGGACGGUACUGACGCUGAGACGCGAAAGCGUGGGGAGCAAACAGG